UAGGACCUUUCCCUUAGCUGAAAGAAAAAAAGAACCAACCCUAGAUCUAAAAACUCGGGCUUGUUUUGCCGCCUCUGACUCUCAGCCAAUCUCUCCCUCGCACGCUCGAUCUCACUCUCAUGAACCUCAGUCCCUCAAUCCACCCUCAAUCCCUUUCACCCUCUCAAGCUCACACACACUCUCAUCCUCCUACGAUUCCGGCAAAGCAAGUUUGGGUAUGGAAGUUUUGGGUAUAGAAGUUUGGGUAAAGUAAGUUUGCAAAGCAUAGACGUCCUCAAGUUUGGUUCGAUUUCUGGUUCGAUUUCGAAUUCUUCAAGCUUGAGACCUGAUAAACAAGAACCCAUCUCUAACACAAGACACAGUUCCACAAGUAAUAGAGUAGACAAAAGGCCAAAUCCAUACAUUCCAGAUCAAAAUCAAUGAAGCAAAUGGCUCCAUAGUCAAAGGCAUCUAUCUAGACGUGGAAACCUUUACGCCACAAACAGGAAAUGAAACAACAACUUUCACACUAGCCCAUCCUCUUCCUGACAAAAAAGAGUCCCUGAUAAACAAAACAGUUCGCAGAAACUACCUUACAGCACAGCUCUCUUCUUUCGAUAUUGCAUUGCUAUUAUUGUUGCUGUAGUGAAAGGUUGGAGCACUGGGAAUGGUGAUUAGCUAGGCUGUGACUUAAGCAAAUUAAGCUACCUUCAUGAAGUCUUGAAGAAGUGUAGGAUGGUGGAUAUGGUUGCCUUUGUCGAUCCUGAUCAGACUGGUACACUUGGGUGUGGAAAUCCCACUGAAAGGGCUCGGUCUUUGUCAGAUCGCUAUAGGCAAGGGAGGUUAGGGCAAAUCUUUGUGGUUCCAUAUAACUCAGGUGCUCAUUGGAUGCUGACGAUUGUGAACCCAAAUGAAGAAGUCGUGCACUUCAUGGAUCCACUUAAAAGGCGACUCGAUACUGGGGAAUGGAAAUCUAUUGUCAACAACUCCAUUAAAAUCUAUAAUGCUCACAAGAAUCGGAAAGGAAGGAAAGUAAUUCAAUGGAAGAAUCUUGCUAGCAAAAAAAUGACAAGACUUGUGGAUAUUUCAUUAUGCGUUACAUGAAAGAAAUUGUGGAGGACAAGAACUUGGAUUUUAGUAUGAAGUGGGGAACGAGGUCAAAUUUGGUUUACACAGUCAAUGAUAUUGAUGAGAUCCGAGCAGAAUGGGCUGAGCAUGUUUUGAAGUUCCCAGAAAAUUAAGUAUCAGCCUAUAUAUAUGCUUUUGUUUCUGGUAGGUUAUGAGCAGUAGUAGUGGCUAGGAACUGCUUUUGUGCAUUUUGACAGAACUGAUGGAAAGUGUUGAACAAAUGCAUGCAGUUGCUGUAACUACUCUAUGGAUGCUACUAGGUUUUUGUCUUAGUUAGAUUAAGAUCCGUGCAACAAUGGCAGUCAUUAAAAUCAUUUAAUGUAAAGGCUAGCAUGCUAGCUAGUUUAGUAUUAUGCUACUGAUGGGAAUG